CCAUGAAUAAAAUAUAAAAGAACAUAAAAUAUAAAAGAACAAGAAUCUCAAAUAAAAGAAAUAAAGGUUCCCAAAUCAGUUAUAUUGUUCGCCUUAAAGUUAAAUUUAGCUACGCAUAGUAAUGAGAGAAAAACAAGAAAUUAUGAAAGGCAUCACUGAGAAUGGACGGAACAUGAAUAAUUUGUAAAAGUAAAUCCAUCGCGUGUUGCCAUCUCUGGCCGUGUAUGCAAGAAAUUAUGGAAGGCAUCACUGAAAAUGGACGGAACGUGAAUAAUUUGUAAAAGUAAAUUCGUCGCGUGUUGCCAUCUUUGGUCGUGUAUGCGUGUAUAUAUUCUGCCUCCUUUUUGCUCUCUCUCGAUUUUUACAAUUUCAGCCUCUGAAGUGUGUAUAAAAUAUAGUAUUUCCUCACCCUUGGUUUUCUGUGCGUCUCUAUUACUAGCAGAAAAAGAAAUCCCCAGCUCCCUCCAAUUAAUUCUCCCAACAGCCGUACCCCCUAUCUGUGUCAAUCACCUCUUGCCACCUCAAAAUGUGUGCCAAAAAAUAUCGAAUUCCUGCCAAAAGUUUCGUGCUUCUCUAUAAUAUGGUGUGUGGAAAAAUAUAUAUUAAAAUUGGCUGCUUCCUUCUCUUCAAUAUAUACGUGUAUAUAUAUAUCAAAAGAAAAUUCUAGCAGCCACAAUGGUUGACUCACAAAAGGACUCCCAUCUCUCCCUAAUUCCUCCUGCGUGUACAUCUUUAUAUAAUAAUUCCAUAGCCACCAAAUUUGACUCCAAUUCAAAGCCUUUAAUGUAAUAUUAAUCAUCAAGUCCUCAAUCUUUCAAUAUAAUAUAUUUCAGUUUUUGAGUUCCUCCAUUGUGCAAUCAUCGUCCUCUUCAAUUUUUCAAGUGUUGAAUUUGUUCUUCAAUAUUGCAUCCACUAGCCAAUUUGUUCUUCAUCCUUUCCAUUUGCUCCGAACGAAUCCAUCACUAAAAACAAACUAAAAUUAACUCAAAUUAAGUAGAAAUUAAUAACUUGACGACAUAAAAACUUAAUAAAAUGGUCUAAAUAAGUGCACAAUUUGCACUCAUCAAUU
rnacentral:lncRNA from 1 species